rnacentral:rRNA from 1 species
GAAACGCCCGGUCCCAUUCCGAACCCGGAAGCUAAGCCUUUCAGCGCCGAUGGUACUGCCCGGGGGACUGGGUGGGAGAGUAGGACGCCGCCGGAC